rnacentral:rRNA from 1 species
ACAUGCAAGUCGAGGGGCAGCAUGGUCUUAGCUUGCUAAGGCUGAUGGCGACCGGCGCACGGGUGAGUAACACGUAUCCAACCUGCCGUCUACUCUUGGACAGCCUUCUGAAAGGAAGAUUAAUACAAGAUGGCAUCAUGAGUUCACAUGUUCACAUGAUUAAAGGUAUUCCGGUAGACGAUGGGGAUGCGUUCCAUUAGAUAGUAGGCGGGGUAACGGCCCACCUAGUCUUCGAUGGAUAGGGGUUCUGAGAGGAAGGUCCCCCACAUUGGAACUGAGACACGGUCCAAACUCCUACGGGAGGCAGCAGUGAGGAAUAUUGGUCAAUGGGCGAGAGCCUGAACCAGCCAAGUAGCGUGAAGGAUGACUGCCCUAUGGGUUGUAAACUUCUUUUAUAAAGGAAUAAAGUCGGGUAUGGAUACCCGUUUGCAUGUACUUUAUGAAUAAGGAUCGG